rnacentral:misc_RNA from 1 species
AGAGCGUACACCAGGACAGGUCUGGAUAGCACAAAAAGUGAAAAAGAUAGGCAAAUGGUAUGAGCGUGGAUGAAUGGUUAGUUAAGAGAGGACAUCCACAUCAUUAAAGCCCAAAUGGAUAGCCAUAUUUUCAUCAACAGACGUCACCAGAUGGCAAGCCAAAAUCCCUUAUCCAAUGACUCUCACACUCGUUCAUCCUCUCCCCUUUAGCUCUCCUUCCCAUUUCUCCCUCUCUUCCCCAAACAAUUUCUCAAUCAGAUUCAAACUCCAGGCAUCAUCCUCGCUGCAAUUAUCUUCCAAUCCCAAGUCUUCCAAUUCCCAAUAUUUAUCCCACCAAAAAACCGGAGUCAUUGUCGUAGGAGCAGGACUUGCUGGUCUUGCUGCUGCAAACCGACUCUAUUCAGAAAACAUUCCCUUCCUCCUCCUGGAAGCUUCUGACGGAGUUGGUGGCCGCGUCCGCACUGACGUCGUUGACGGCUUCUUAUUGGACCGAGGCUUCCAAAUUUUCAUCACUGCCUACCCGGAGGCUCAAAAACUCCUUGAUUACCAAGCUUUGGAUCUGCAGAAGUUUUACUCAGGUGCCCGGAUUUAUUUCGAUGGUCAGUUCCACACCGUGGCUGAUCCUAUACGCCAUUUUUGGGACUCUCUGAAGUCCUUAACGAAUCCAAUUGGAUCUAUACUCGAUAAAUUACUCAUCGGAUUGACCAGGAUUCAGGUUUUGACGAAAUCUGAUGCUGAAAUUCUGUCUGCUAAUGAGGUUACCACUGUCGAUCUGCUGAGAAACAUUGGGUUUUCAGAUUCGAUAAUUGGCCCGUUUUUCAGGCCAUUCUUUGGAGGCAUAUUCUUUGAUAGAGAGCUUCAAACUACUUCCAGAUUGUUCGAUUUCAUCUUCAAGUGUCUCGCUCUCGGCGACAAUACCCUUCCGGCCAAGGGAAUUGUGGCCAUUCCCAACCAACUAGCAGCUAAAUUGCCGCCCAAUUCCAUUCUCUUGAAUACAAGAGUAGCUUCCAUUGAUUUCCAUGAAUCAUCAUCUGGUGAAAUUACAACGCCCAGAGUGAGAUUGGAAAAUGGAGAAAUUUUGCAGAGUGAAAUUGGAGUAAUUCUGGCCGUUGAAGAACCCGAGGUCGAUAAGCUCUUGGCGGGAAGGAACAUUAAACCGGUUCAGAGAAAACCGCCCCGGAGUACAGUUUGUAUAUAUUUCUCCGCGGACCGAGAUAGCAUCCCGGUUGAGGACCCGGUUCUGUUUCUCAACGGAUCGGGCAAGGGGAUUGUAAACAACAUGUUCUUUGCAACCAACGUGGCUCCAUCAUAUGGACCACCUGGGAAGGCAUUAGUAUCAGUGUCGCUGAUAGGGUUGUUCGAGGAUGUUUCUGAUGAUGAUCUAUCGCGUGAGAUUGUGCAGGAGCUUUCGGGUUGGUUCGGGGAUUCAAUGGUGAAGUCAUGGAAAUAUUUGAGAACUUAUAGGAUUGGAUUUGCACAACCGAACCAAUGCCCUCCAACUGAUUUGAAGAAAAAUUCUCGGGUCGAGUCGGACUUGUAUUUAUGUGGUGAUUAUAUGACUUCUGCUACUUUUGAUGGCGCUUUGGUCUCGGGAAGAAAAGCAGUCGAAGCUUUAUUGAAGGAGAGAGUAUUUACUCGAGUUUAAUUAUUUUCUAAUAUAAUUUGAUAUUUUUUUUAAGUUAUAAACCAAAAAAAAAAAAUCUUUGUCUAAU